GCACGCGCUUUUCUUUCGCAAUACUAAGGGACAUGCUGGCAGGAGGGAUUUAUCAAGCUACUUGGAUAGCGAUUCGUUUUUGAAUAUUCCUCCUUAAUUGGGUUUGUUGCAGUGUGUGGCGAUGGAGAGUACAUCAUCUGUACCGCCAUAGCUCUGAGAAUCAAGAUCUUCGGCUCAGCACAGGAGUUUGCUUGGGCACAUGACUCAUCUGAAUAUGCGAUUAGAGAAAGCAGAAGCAUUGCGAAAAUAAUGCAGAAUUUCAAAGUAAAGAAAUCAUUCACGUCUGACUUUGGAGCAGAGGGCAUCUAUGGAGGUUUCUUGCUUGGGGUGAGGUCAGUGAAUGGUCUGGGAUUUUAUGAUUGGGAGAACACCGAACUGAUCCGCCGCAUUGAGAUCCAACCUAAACACAUCUUCUGGUCAGACUCUGACGAGUUGGUCUGCAUCGCGACUGAAGAGUCUUUCUUCAUCCUUCGAUAAAAUGGCUGACAAAGUAGUUGCCUCACAAGAGAACAACGAAGUCGUGACGGAAG